rnacentral:lncRNA from 1 species
GGUGGAAACGAGCCGAGCUCGAGCGAGCUUAUGUCAGCUCAAAUUCGACUUGAAAUUAAUUUCGAGCCUAAAUCUAGGCUCAAGCUCGGCUUGAAAUUAAUUCGAGCCGAGCUCGAGCGAGCCUAAUUUCGAGUCGAGCCGAGCUCGAGCUCUAAACGAGCCUAUUGAAAUUCUCGACAUUACAUAAUCAAUAGUUUAAUUUUUAUAUAACAUUACCUAUAAUUUGAUGCAACAUGUUCAAUAAUUUAAAAUACAAAAUAAUUGCAAGAAAUGUGAGCUAGGGUGACUGCCUGAUUGGGUGAGGGUUUGAGGGAGAACGAGAGAGAGAGGGGGGGGAAAAAAAUUAGGGAUUUGAGAAUUUGAAUGUUAUCAUGUUUUAGGAUUAUGUGCAACAGUGAAAGUCUGAAAGAGAGAGUGUGUUAUGUAAAUUUAGAGUUGGGGCUCAAUUGCACGGUUGUACUUGUUGGAUUUAUUUUAUGGGCAAAC